rnacentral:rRNA from 1 species
GACGAACGCUUGCGGCGUGCCUAAGAAAUGCAAGUCGAGCGAGGUUUAGGCUUCGGCCGACGACCUAGCGGCGAACGGUCGCGUAACACGUAAGCAACCUGCCCUAAAGUUGGGGAUAGCCCGCCGAAAGGCGGAUUAAUACCGAAUGUGGAUAUGAUUUCGCAUGUGAUUAUAUCUGAAGCAGCGAUGCGCUUUAGGAUGGGCUUGCGACCUAUCAGUUAGUUGGUGUGGGUAACGGCCUACCAAGACGACGACGGGUAGCUGGUCUGAGAGGAUGGUCAGCCGGAUUGGGACUGAGACACGGCCCAGACUCCUACGGGGGGCAGCAAUUAGGAAUCUUGCGCAAUGGGCGAAAGCCUGACGCAGCGACGCCGCGUGACUGAUGAAGUCUUUCGAGAUGUAAAGGUCUUUUGUUGGGGACGAAGGAAGUGACGGUACCCGACGAAUAAGCCCCGGCUAACUACGUG